rnacentral:lncRNA from 1 species
AUGUUUUCCCAUUCAGGAGGAACCUGCAAAGGAGGGGGAGUGAAAUGGAGACAUCUGCUGGCCAGAGAUGGGAUGUGCACGUGGAUGCCUCCCAGCCCUGCUGGAUGCUAUCAGCUCACCCUUCCUGGUGAAGGGAAAAUGCUCUACAAGGCAAAGGAGUGUAUUGGCGGUGGCACUGUAAUGAAGCUUAUGAGCGGGUUGUGGUGGCGCACACCUGUGAUCCCAGCACUCUGGGAGCCUGAGCAGGGAACAUCGCAAGUUCAAGCCCAGCCCGGGCAACUUAGCAACUUGGCAAGGCCUUGUCUCAAAAUAAAAAAUAAAAAGGGGCUGGUGAUAGAGCUCUGUGUAAAGGCCCUGAGUUCUCCAGGGCCAAAAGGGGGUGGGGGAAGAAUCCUGUAGAAUGUAGCAGGAGCGCUUGUUUCCCUUUUUCUUGUGUUAUUUCUGCUUCCCCAGUCUCUUCAUUCACCAUCUUCCUUAAUCUUUCCUUGUGUCAUCAAGCUCCCAAGUGACUCCAUUAUAUUUUCUAGUGAUUCUCUCUAAAGGAAGAUGAGAAGUGGGCUGGGCACGCGCCAGUCAGGUAACAAUCAAGGUGAAGUUUUCUGUUAUCGUAUGCUGUGAUCAUGAAGCUAUCUGCUCUUUUGCAGCCCUUCUCACCCGCUCUGAAACCCUGUCCUUGUAAACAACAACGUCCCCAUUCUUCUGGAAGGGUAAAUACAGCUCCUGUCCAACACAGCUGGGGAAAGUGAGAGCCAACUGGAGGGAGGCAUCCCGGUCUGCCUUCACUACAGUUAGCCCAAAAACAGGCCACUCUGUGCCUUUCUUGUCCUCUCUGGCAUAUUCUAAUGGGUUGAUCGGUUCGGUAAUCCCAAAAACGUUCCCACCAGGACUCGUGUGAAGCUUGUAUGCUGUCUUCCCACCACAUCUGAGCACCAUCUGAACUGAUUUCACACAAAAAACCCAUCUUUCUUGGCUUCUAUUUUUUCUCUCUCUUUCUUCCCACUUUCAUUAUCAAAGCCAAGAAUUACUUGUUCUCAAACCUAUAGCAAUAUGUUCGGCGUAACUUACAGAAAUUCAGUUGUCUAGAAGAAAAUAUCCCUAUGAUAAGAAAUGCUUCUUGAUUUCCAUUAGCCUUGGCCCAACUCAAAAACCUCCAUGCACAGCUCUGCAGUCCAAAACCACGCUGCUGAGCAAGGAAGCUCUGGCUGGCCACCCUUCCCUGCCCUCCCUUCAGAGAGUAAUGGGGUAACCCCAACAUAAAAAUCACAAGGAAAUGGCACAGGGGAUGUUAGUGGCCUUAUGGAUGAGAACACAGAAUCUUCACCUAUAACAAACUCUACUUGGAGCUGACGGUAGAGUGUUGCAGAAACUCUGACUGUAUAUUCUGUGCUUCGGUUUUACUAGUCAUACUGCAAGCAGCAGAGAAAAAGAGCAAGAAGUCAUUCAUGACCUUGUGAAGUGCAGAUACACUCAAGAUUUGUCAGUAAUGGCAGGGUGGGUGUUGCAAUGCGCUAUCCAGGUUCCCCCUUUCGGGAACUGUGAGUUUAUUGUUUCAGCAGGCAAGAGUACUGGGCAAUUCGGAGUCAGUGUCCAUCUGUCAAUAUUGCCUUCACCCAAGGGAGCUGACCAGUUAAGGUUACAUUCCCUCCCUUGAUACAGCCCACUUUCCAAGACUCAUCAGUGUGGAGUGCAGAGUCUCAGCAGGGACAUUUGUAGAGCUCUUAUGCUCUGAAGCCUUCUCCAGGAUCAGCCAAUGCUCAGUCACAGAUCCGUAAUAAUUCAACUUCACUUUUUCAUAAUUCAACUUCAAACCUGAUUCCGACACUUGCUUACAGACUCCUAGGUAAAGAUUUGGGAGCUAGACCACCCACCAAAUGGCAGGAGGUACAAUACUGAUCAUCUCCGAAAGGCUCUAGUGGGGAACUGAGGUGAGAUAUAAAGGAAAGAGAUUGCUGAUGGGGCACUGUCUCAGGCAGGCAUUAGAGUCUUAGUGGAAAUAAUAAUUAUAUGGAUUAUAGAAUGAGAUGGUUAUUGCUGAGUACUGUGGGUACAUUGAAGAAACAAAAAGAACUGCUGCUGGUGACUAAGCUGAGGUAUGAAAGCCGGGAUGUUUCUUCAAAACACACAGAGAGCUCUCAUCUCCUGCAAGUAUAUGGUGCAGAAAUUGAGGACUGGGUCCAAGGAUGUGUUGUGCAGACUGCAGAGCUCCAGAAAGACUGAGUCAUCACUCUAGUAGGUUCUGUGUUAAGUUCUUUUUUUGGGGGGAGGUGGGUACCGGGGAUCGAACUCUGGACCUUUUACUUGCGAGGCAGGAGGGAGAACCACUGAGCUAAAUCCCCAGCCAAAGUUCUGUGUUAAGUUCUUUUUUUGGGGGGAGGUGGGUACCGGGGAUCGAACUCUGGACCUUUUACUUGCGAGGCAGGAGGGAGAACCACUGAGCUAAAUCCCCAGCCAAAGUUCUGUGUUAAGUUCAAGACUCUUACUGGGUAGAGGUGAGACCAUGGGGUUGGGUUGAGAACACAGGUCGAUCCCCUUGGAAAUCCUGAAUUCCCACAUUCCCUGAUACUUCUGAACCAGAAAAGUGGCCACCCCAUCCUCUCCCGAGAGAAGGUACCUUCCCCCAUUCUCUCUGCUCAUGAAGAAAAAUGCAUCAGACUCCACUGUGCAAGUUAACUAUUUUAACAUAACUGAUUUCUGUAGAACACUGAGCACAACAAAAACGGAAAACAUAUUCUAAGGCUAUGUGUUCACCAAUACUGACCAUAAACUGCUCCAUAACACACGUAUCACUAACUUUAAAAUAAAUGAAAUUAAAAGGCAGACAGUAGGAAAAAAAGAAAAAAGUUAUUACAAUCUAGUAUGAACAAUGUAUCUAAAACUAUACCUUGAUUUAGUAUAAUUGUCUUUUGUAUUUUAUGUUUUUUGGCCUGUUAGUCUGGUUGUUAAUCUGUAUUUAUGAUAAUUAACUUGAUAAGGAUUUAGGAAAUAAAGGAAUCUGUUGCUGGCAAAGAGUUUUAAAAAUAAAACAGGGUAGAGGAGAAGGGGAAAAAUGAAUUGAAACAUGUUAUGUACAUGUCCCAGUUCCCCAAAUGAAUGUGACCAUUAUGUACUACAAAAAUGUACUAAUAAAAAUGUUUUAAAAUUAAAAAUAAAACAACUGAAAUUAUACAGAAUGUGUACUUUGACCACAACAGAAUUAACUCAGAAAUCAAUUACAGAAAGAAGCCGUGGAAAAUCCACUAAUAUUUGAAAAUUAAAAAACAAAACUAAAUUACCUAUGCAUCAAAGAAAAAAUCACAAAGGAAACUGAAAAUAUUUUGUAUAAUAUUAAUGAAUUACAGCCUAUCAAAAUUGCUGCCACACAAGUGGUAUGUAGAAAGGAAUUUCUGACUUCAUAUUUAAAAGAGAAAAGAUAUCUAGAAUCAGUUAUCUAAGCUACUCUUUUAAGAAUCUAGGGAAAAAGAGUG